GUUCCUUCUUUCAAUCUGAAGUAAAUUAAAUGUAUUGCAUCUGAUGUUGGUUUAUGUGAUUUAUACUCUAUUAUGAUGUUGGCUGUAAAAAAUUGUUGGCUUUUGUUGGUAUAUUGACAUGUUGCUUUAUGUGAUUUAUGCUCUAAUUUGGUUUAGCAGCAGCUAUGUUGUCUUUAAUGAAAUUCUUAAGGCAGCAUCUUAGAAAAGUGUUUUGAGUUAUUUCAUAUUUUAACAUUUAUACAGAAAAUUAAUAAUCUGACAAAAAGUUUUUCUCAUACGUGCAAGACUUCCUGCAGAUAUAUUGCCUUCUCUCAUCUUCUACAUGAAUGAAUUUUUACAA
rnacentral:misc_RNA from 1 species